GGAGGAUUCAGUGGAUGGCUGUUCGCAAGAAAAGCUGGCGGUUUAUUCAGCAACAUAUAUCCACCGAAAUCUAAAAAUGGCACGGGCAGAAAUUCCGGAUGGAAAAGCGCCUUCGACACAAAG